GCAGUAGCCGCGGUAAUACGUAGGUGGCAAGCGUUGUCCGGAAUUAUUGGGCGUAAAGGGCUCGCAGGCGGUUUCUUAAGUCUGAUGUGAAAGCCCCCGGCUCAACCGGGGAGGGUCAUUGGAAACUGGGAAACUUGAGUGCAGGAGAGGAGAGUGGAAUUCCACGUGUAGCGGUGAAAUGCGUAGAGAUGUGGAGGAACACCAGUGGCGAAGGCGACUCUCUGGUCUGUAACUGACGCUGAGGAGCGAAAGCGUGGGGAGCGAACAGGAUUAGAUACCCCUGUAGUCCCUGUCUCUUAUAC
rnacentral:rRNA from 1 species